GGGACGCCGCCAACUGCCCUCACAAGCACUAGCGCGUUUUAACUCGCACCCGGGGCAGGCAGAGAGCGAGUAUGUAACUUCCUGAUUGGGGUAACGCGCAGAAACCCACUCUUGCAGUGUGCACAGUCGCAACAAGCUGCGUUUGGAAACAUUCAAAUUAUUUUAAGAACUUCACGCAGAGUGAAAUUACUUUGAAAACUGGCAGCCCUGAGCAAGGCUUGGAAGAGACUUUGGAGACAUGAAGAAGCCGCCACGGGACAGUUUGUUCCCCUGAGAGCAGAGGCAGGCAGCUCUCCUCUCCCGGGGAAGCUCUGCCCGUGCACAGUCCCUGCGACCCGCUCGUCCUUACUGACUGCAGCCAACCUGUGAUGAAGUGGUUGUGGAGGUGAGAACCAAAUGUUACCAAAAGUGUACGUAUAUUGACAAAGAAAAUGGAUGUGUGUACAACAAACAAAGAGGAGCACUGCAGGAAGGUGCACGAUCAGACUGUGGCCUGGCGUAAAUCCCCUCUGGCGUGCUGUGUUCGGCAGCAGACAGUCUGGACCACGAACAGAAAGAAGUAUUAGUGCAUUUCUGUACAGUGAGUAGCACCUCUCAUACUUCAGUCCAGCGUGCCUGGGGUGAACCACCAAUAUGAAGAAUAUUUGCAAAGAUAAAAUAACUUCAAAGAGAUACGAGAAGAUUAGUCUGCUGCUUUGUGUUCAUUCCAUGGCUUCAGGAGUCAGAAAACCUGGAAGCUGAGUUCAGAGACAAGUUUAGAUAUUGAGUUCUUAGUGCACAUUUUGCCCAGCAGACUUCUAAUACCCAGGAACAGAUAUGUUUUAUUUUGGUGCAGGUCUCACUGCUGAGGAAAUAAAGAUGUUUCUCCUUUUUGUCUGGA